rnacentral:rRNA from 1 species
UACGUAGGGGGCGAGCGUUGUCCGGAAUUAUUGGGCGUAAAGAGCGUGUAGGCGGUUCGGUAAGUCUGCCGUGAAAACCUGGGGCUCAACCCCGGGCGUGCGGUGGAUACUGCCGGGCUAGAGGGUGGUAGAGGCGAGUGGAAUUCCCGUGUAGCGGUGAAAUGCGCAGAUAUCAGGAGGAACACCGGUGGCGAAGGCGGGUCUCUGGGCCGAUACUGACGCUGAGGAGCGAAAGCGUGGGGAGCGAACAGG